GUGCCAGCCGCCGCGGUAAUACGUAGGGUGCGAGCGUUAAUCGGAAUUACUGGGCGUAAAGCGUGCGCAGGCGGUUAUGUAAGACAGAGGUGAAAUCCCCGGGCUCAACCUGGGAACUGCCUUCGUGACUGCAUGGCUAGAGUGCGGCAGAGGGGAUGGAAUUCCGCGUGUAGCAGUGAAAUGCGUAGAUAUGCGGAGGAACACCGAUGGCGAAGGCAAUCCCCUGGGCCUGCACUGACGCUCAUGCACGAAAGCGUGGGGAGCAAACAGGAUUAGAUACCCUGGUAGUCCACGCCCUAAACGAGGUCAACUGGUUGUUGGGUCUUCACUGACUCAGUAACGAAGCUAACGCGUGAAGUUGACCGCCUGGGGAGUACGGUCGCAAGAUUAAAACUCAAAUGAAUUGACGG
rnacentral:rRNA from 1 species